rnacentral:misc_RNA from 1 species
GUUCAUACAGCAAUGCAGGCGGAAUUGCAAUCUGUUUUGAAUGGGCUUACAAUUACUUAGGAAUUAAGAUUUCGAAAAGUGGAGGUUGAUAUGGAUUCUAUCUAUGGUUUCUCUGAAUUUUCUUUUAGGUAAGAGUAGGUCCAAUGUGAAAUUUUAUGGUCUUAUGGCUCAGUGCAGGAGCCUAAUGCAUCGUCCUUGGCAAGUGAAGUUCAAGCAUGGUUAUAACGAAACCAAUUGAGCGGCUAAUGGGCUUGCAGAGUCCACCGACUAAGAUUGUGCCGUUGCUGCAAG